rnacentral:rRNA from 1 species
AAUCAACGCUGGCGGCGUGCCUCAGACAUGCAAGUCGAACGAUUAAAGCUCUCUUCGGAGAGUGCAUAGAGUGGCGCACGGGUGAGUAACACGUAAGUAAUCUACCUUCGAGUGGGAAUAACAUCGGGAAACCGAUGCUAAUACCGCAUAAUGCAGCGGCAUCAUAAGAUGACAGUUGUUAAAGAUUUAUCGCUUGAAGAGGAGCUUGCGGCAGAUUAGCUAGUUGGUAAGGUAAUGGCUUACCAAGGCUACGAUCUGUAACCGGUCUAAGAGGACGGUCGGUCACACUGACACUGAAUAACGGGUCAGACUCCUACGGGAGGCAGCAGUCGGGAAUUUUGGGCAAUGGGCGAAAGCCUGACCCAGCAACGCCGCGUGAAGGAUGAAGUAUUUCGGUAUGUAAACUU